GUAAAAGGUCGAGAAUGCACUAGGGUAGGUAGGGAGCAACAAUCAAUAAGCCUGGCUGCCUGCCUGCCCGUUGGAAUCCUAUCGCCAGCUGUUGAAGAAACCGAGGCACUCUUGGCCGUGCGUGAAGGCGCCGGCUGUAGACAGGCACCGCCAUGCCCAUCGAUGUCAAUAAAGCCGUUCUGGAUGUGUGUGGGGGGAGGGAGGGAACGUAACAGCGCUCAGCGCUCAACCUUCGCCGUCCCCUAGCGGUGCUGAUUCUAGUUCUUAUUUCUUUGGCUUUGCAUUAUAUAUAGUACAUGUGCGUUCAGCGGCCUUAUUAUUUACCAGCCAUGCACAUUGCACGUUGCUUGUAUAUGCAAAGGAAACGCAAACGUGCAUACAUACGUA
rnacentral:lncRNA from 1 species